CUUAUCCAUCGUGCGCACAAACCCUAUCAAAAAUGGCAUGAAGCCCAAACCCUCCUAAAACCCCCGAACUCUCCACGCAGAUGAAAAUCGCCGCUAUUUUCCGUUCUUCUCCUGCCUCCUUUCCUUGCGUCUUCGCAAAGCUAAGGCUAAAGAGCUUGCCUUUCUCUACAAAUCAAUGCCUUCUCUUUCAUUAUCGGGAAUAUUCCGGCGGUAGGACUUUCUCAGCUCGACCGGCGAGGUCGGGUAUCCGCGACAUCCAGCGUGGAAAACUCAGAACCGGGAGCGUCUCAGGGCAGGGCAAGAGCCUCAUCGAGGACGAGGCGGAGCUCAGCGAUUGGAUCAGCGACCUCAAGGCAGACUCUUUUCGUACCAGGCAUAGCAGCGAGGACGAAGGUUCGGGUCGUUAUCGAGGUAGACAGGACAGUAAGGAUAUGGGUAGAAAUUGGUUAGCGAGUAAAGAACGGGGGAGGGAUUCUCGGUCUGCGGCUUAUGGAAGGCCGUCUUCGAGGAGGAAUAGGGGUAGUGAUUCCGAUGGGGAUUCAGCUCGUAGUCAGAGGGGUUCAUCCUUGAGAAGGCGACUUGAUAGUGACGAUAAUGUAGAUGAUUUCCGUAGCAGGGUGGGAAAUGAGCGGGGAAGUCGACCGGCAGUUUCUUCGGAUUCCAGGAAAGGUCUUGGUGAUCGGCAUGGGGCUUCUUCUGCUUUCAAUAAGAGAGGCAGGGGGGAUUAUGAAAUUGGCGGUAGGGUAAGCCAACGGAAGAAAAGUCAAGUUCUUGUUGUAUCCGAGGAGGAGGAGGAGGAUGAGGAAGAGGAGGAAAGUGAUGAUAUUUUGCCUGAUUUUGAUAAUGAUUUCUUCGGUGACAAGGAAGAUAGGAAGGAUAGGGUUGCAAAAGGUCCUAUUGAGAAAGGCAGUUCUCGUUUGUCCAAUGAUAGUAAUAUUCUAAAAGCAGUACCGCAAACUUCUGUGCCCGCUAGUGAUUCUUACUUAAGUGAGGCGAGAUUUGAUCAAUUUUCCCUUUCUCCACUGUCGCUGAAAGGAAUAAAAGCCGUUGGUUAUGAAAGGAUGACUGUAGUGCAGGAAGCAACUCUUCCAGUAAUACUCAAAGGUAAAGAUGUUCUUGCUAAAGCUAAGACAGGAACUGGCAAAACUGUAGCGUUUUUGCUGCCCGCAAUUGAGGUAGUUGCGAAGCUACCUCCUCCUGAUCGUGAUAAUAGAAGACCCCCUAUCCAUGUGCUUGUAAUUUGCCCAACUAGGGAGCUUGCAGAUCAAGCUGCUGCGGAAGCCUCAAAGCUGUUGAGGUACCAUGCUUCUAUUGGUGUUCAGGUUGUUAUGGGUGGUACAAGGUUGGCACUAGAACAGAAACGCAUGCAAGCUAAUCCAUGCCAGAUUCUUGUAGCAACACCUGGAAGGCUCAGAGAUCAUAUGGAGAAUACACCAGGAUUUACUUCCAAACUAUCUGGCGUGAAAGUUCUUGUUCUUGAUGAAGCGGACAGAUUGCUAGAUAUGGGAUUUCGGAAAGAUAUUGAAAAGAUUGUUGCAGAACUGCCAAAACAACGGCAAACGCUUCUUUUUUCUGCAACAGUUUCAGAUGAGGUUCGUCAAAUAUGCUACAUUGCUAUGAAAAGAGAUAAUGAAUUUAUUAGCACGGUUGAAGAGGGCAGUGAGGAAACACACUCCCAGGUUACCCAGAUGCAUUUAAGUGCACCAUUAGACAAGCAGUUUUCAAUACUCUAUGGAAUUCUGAGUGAUCACAUUGCUGAAGACGUUGACUACAAGGUUAUAGUGUUCUGUACCACUGCAAUGGUUACGAAGCUUGUUGCGGAUCUUUUGGCUGAGUUGAAUUUGAAUGUUCGAGAAAUGCAUUCUAGAAAGCCGCAAACCUAUAGAACCAGAGUCUCUAAGGAGUUCAAGGAGUCGAAAGGCCUUAUCCUUGUCAGUUCUGAUGUUUCUGCACGAGGAGUCGACUACCCUGAUGUCUCUCUUGUUAUACAGCUGGGAGUGCCUGCUGAUAGAGAUCAAUACAUACAUCGACUUGGUAGAACUGGCAGGAAAGGGAAAGGAGGAAAAGGCUUACUUCUCUUAGCACCAUGGGAAGAUUUCUUCUUAGAUAACAUACGAGACUUACCAAUAGAAAAGGCUGAAGUUCCUCUUAUUGAUCCAGACACCAGAAAGAAAGUGGAGAGGGCCCUUGCUCAUGUUGAGAUGAAGAACAAGGAACGUGCAUACCAAGCAUGGCUUGGCUAUUACAACUCCAUAAAAAAUGUUGCCCGAGAAAAAUCUAAGCUUGUACUUCUUGCUAAUGAGUUUAGCCGGAGCAUGGGGCUUGACAAUCCUCCAGCAAUCCCCAUAAUUGUUCUGAGGAAGAUGGGACUUAACAAUGUUCCAGGGAUUCGUACUAAGUAGCUUUUACUGAAAUACUAUAUUGCAUUUCAAAACUAGCUGAAGUGAAAUAGUCCAAACACAAAUUCCUUCUUGAUAUCAAGGAAGACCAGAUUCCUUUUCAAUAUCAAAUGCCACUGGAAUCAUCCUGCUAUCGUGAAAUCCCAGUGCAACUUUAGGAGCUCUACAAAUUCCAGUGGUUGGAAACUCAGUAAUUGGACAACCAUGUGAAAGUGGAUGAGCAGGAAAUAGUGUAUUACUGAAACAACACGAAUAUAGGAUCCUCAAGGUGCCAAAACCUAUCAGUUUUUUUCUCAAUGCCGAAUCAGAUGAGAAGAAUGUGAAACAGCUUCUUCGUCUCAUUUUGUCAAAAUUUGGACGAAGGCAACCGGGUAGAUCAGAUAGUGAAUGGGCUAAUAUGUGGCAAGAUAUGGUUUGUUUCCAGGAACAAGCAUUUUCUUUUCUAGAUACAGAGUACAUGCUAAUUGAAUUUUGUAGAGGCCUUCUGAAAGCAAGAAAAUUUAGUCUUGCAAGGAAUUAUUUGAAAGGGGUAGGUACUAUCUCCUUGGCAACUGAGAAGGCCGAAAUUCUAGUUGUUCAAGCAGCAUGGGAAUACUUCUUUUUUGCGUCUAGUCUUUCUUGCUCUGAGGAUAGUACUUCAAUGUUAUCUACUGUCUGUAUUAAUGUAAAUUCCUAAUGAAAAUCUCAUAUAGCUAGUCUGGUUGCCCCAAAAUGCAUGAAAUGGGAUUUUUUUCAUUGCAAAA